AAGGACUUAAGUUAAAUAAACUAAUAACCUUCAAAGAUAUAAUUAAAAGAAUAAUUUUUUAGGCCUUA
rnacentral:tRNA from 1 species